rnacentral:rRNA from 1 species
AUUGAACGCUGGCGGCAGGCCUAACACAUGCAAGUCGAACGAGUGGCGGACGGGUGAGUAAUGUCUGGGAAACCGCCUGAUGGAGGGGGAUAAAUACUGGAAACGGUAGCUAAUACCGCAUACCAUCAGAUGUGCCCAGAUGGGAUUAGCUUGUUGGUGGGGUAACGGCUAACCAAGGCGACGAUCCCUAGCUGGUCUGAGAGGAUGACCAGCCACACUGGAACGGAGACACGGUCCAGACUCCUACGGGAGGCAGCAGUGGGGAAUAGUGCACAAUGGGCGCAAGACUGAGGCAGCCAUGCCGCGUGUAUGAGGAAGGCCUUCGGGUGGUAAAGGACGUUCAGCGGGGAGGCGUUACCCGCAGAAGAAGCACCGGCUAACUACGGGACAGCAGCCGCGGUAAUACC